rnacentral:rRNA from 1 species
GACGUAGGGUGCAAGCGUUGUCCGGAUUUAUUGGGCGUAAAGAGCUCGUAGGCGGCUCGUUGCGUCGACUGUGAAAACCUGCUGCUUAACGGUGGGCUUGCAGUCGAUACGGGCGAGCUAGAGUUCGGUAGGGGAGACUGGAAUUCCUGGUGUAGCGGUGAAAUGCGUAGAUAUUACUCGGAAGGCCAAAGGCGAAGGCAGGUUACUGGUACGCAACUGACGCUGAUGCACGAAAGCGUGGGGAGCAAACAGG